rnacentral:rRNA from 1 species
GACGAACGCUGGCGGCGUGCUUAACACAUGCAAGUCGAACGAGUGGCGAACGGGUUAGUACUACGUGGGUAACCUGCCCUCUUUUUGAGCUAAGCCUUGGACACGGGGUCUAAUACCGACUAAGUGGGGAUGGGCUAGCGGCCUAUCAGCGUGUUGGUGGGUUGAUGGCCUACCAAGGCGGUGAGGGGUAGCCGGCCUGAGAGGGUGACCGGCCACACUGGGACUGAGACACGGCCCAGAAUCCGACGGGCGGAAGCAGUGGGGAAUAUGGCACAAUGGGCGCAAGCCUGAUGCAGCCAUGCCGCGUGUAUGAAGAAGGCCUUAGGGUUGUAAAGUACUUUCAGCGGGGAGGCGUUACCCGCAGAAGAAGCACCGGCUAACUCCGUGCCAGCAGCCGCGGUAAUUC